GACGAACCACACGAACGUUAUUCGGAAUUACUGGGCUUAAAGGGUGCGUAGGCUGUGCGGAAAGUUGGGUGUGAAAUACCUUAGCUUAACUAAGGAACUGCGCUCAAAACUACCGUGCUUGAGGGAGACAGGGGUAAGCGGAACUUAGGGUGGAGCGGUGAAAUGCGUUGAUAUCCUAAGGAACACCGGUGGCGAAAGCGGCUUACUGGGUCUCUUCUGACGCUGAGGCACGAAAGCUAGGGUAGCGAGCGGG
rnacentral:rRNA from 1 species